rnacentral:rRNA from 1 species
CCUAACUGGGAGUCGGCAGUAGAUACUGGUGUGCUAGAGGAUGAGAGAGAGGAGUGGAAUUCUCGGAGUAGCGGUAAAAUGCGUAGAUCUCGAGAGGAACACCGAUGGCGAAAGCAGCUCCUUGGCUCAUUCCUGACGCUCAGGCCCGAAAGCAUGGGUAGCAAACAGGAUUAGAUACCCUGGUAGUCCAUGCUGUAAACGCUGAUCACUAGACGUUAGGACCGCAUAGCGGUCUUAGUGUUGAAGCUAACGCGUUAAGUGAUCCGCCUGGGGAGUACGGUCGCAAGACUAAAACUUAAAGAAAUUGACGGGGGUUCGCACAAACGGUGGAACAUGUGGUUUAAUUCGAUACUACGCGCGAAACCUUACCUGGGUUUGACAUGUAUCUGGCCACCAUGGAAACAUGGCUUUCCAAAGCUUUGCUUUGGACGG